GACGAACGCUGGCGGCGUGCCUAAUACAUGCAAGUAGAACGCCGAAGGAGGAGCUUGCUUCUCUGGAUGAGUUGCGAACGGGUGAGUAACGCGUAGGUAACCUGCCUGGUAGCGGGGGAUAACUAUUGGAAACGAUAGCUAAUACCGCAUAAUAGCAGUUGUUGCAUGACAACUGUUUGAAAGGUGCAAUUGCACCACUACCAGAUGGACCUGCGUUGUAUUAGCUAGUUGGUGGGGUAACGGCUCACCAAGGCGACGAUACAUAGCCGACCUGAGAGGGUGAUCGGCCACACUGGGACUGAGACACGGCCCAGACUCCUACGGGAGGCAGCAGUAGGGAAUCUUCGGCAAUGGACGGAAGUCUGACCGAGCAACGCCGCGUGAGUGAAGAAGGUUUUCGGAUCGUAAAGCUCUGUUGUAAGAGAAGAACGAGUGUGAGAGUGGAAAGUUCACACUGUGACGGUAUCUUACCAGAAAGAGACGGCUAACUACGUG
rnacentral:rRNA from 1 species